GCGUCAGUUUGUGGUACCCUCCGAUCGUUGUGUGCGAUGCAGCUGCUGCUGGUUGUUAGAUGCUUUCGAGCCUUUACCGAACCGAAGAGAAGGGGGGGGAUGGAUCAAAGUUCGCACGCAUCUAGACAUGCGUGCACGGAGAGAAGAGGCGCGAAGAGAAGAGAAAAAAACCGCCCUCACUUGUGACACGGACAGCUAGAGAGAAAGAGAAAGAUAGAGCACGC
rnacentral:ribozyme from 1 species